rnacentral:lncRNA from 1 species
GUGUGGCUUGCCCCAGGUCACACAGCGGGGCAGGGGCCCAGGGCCUAGCCUGCCAGUCCUGUUUCUGCCCCCAUCCUGGGGUUCUGGUGCAGGGUCUCCUGCCUGUGCUGACCAGCAGUAUUCAUGAGGUGCUGGGAAGCCCAGGGUCCUCCUCUGGAAGUGGUGACGGUCCCGGCCUCCAGGAGCGGCCGCAAGGAUUCAGAGCUGAUAAGGUGAACGCCUAGGGUGGGGCCUGGUGCACUGGGAGAGCUCAGGCCCUGGGGCUGGAUUAACUGUCCCUGGGGCACAGACACUGGUCUGGGGGCCUAGAGAGCCCUCAGAGCCGCCCCACUGUCCCCCACUGAAGCCAUC